rnacentral:lncRNA from 1 species
UAUUUCCCACAUUCCGGGUGUCAGAACGUCAUGAAACUUUAAAUCUAGCCUCAAAAAAAUAAUCCUAACAUAUUUCCAGAUUUUCGAAAUUUUCUGACACUGCAUUUUUCGCUAAAAUAACAGCCUCAAUUCAUACAGAAAAUUCAAAAUCUUCUGUUCUCGCUCCGAUUUCCGCACGAGCCGUUCCCGACUUAUAUUUUACUUCUAUAAGUCCAAUAAAAAUAGUAUCUCACACUAUUUUUAUUUAUACCCUUAUUAUAAAAUCCGGUAUGCUACAUUCUCCAUCCCUUAAAAGAGUUUCGUCCUCGAAACUUCAAUCACACCUCAACUCGACCUAUCGAGCGAUUGAGGUCAUUAGCAUACUUCUCCCUAGGGAACACACUCCAAUUCGAUCACCGGCAUUGUUUAGAAGCAAUAUCACAGGUGCAUCGCUCUCUUGUGAGUGCUCUAAUUCCACAGGGACUUAGCUCUGCAGUGAGAUGGCACACUCCGGCACAUCUCCACCUUUAGUCCCCUAAAGAGCAUUAUCCUCAGAUUCCACAUGGCUAUCCAAGAUCCAACACGUGACAUUCCAUACUCCCGGGUCUAAGCUCGAACUACCGUCCUGACCAAAAUCUC